AGACUGUCACCUGAGUGUAGUGGCCGCACAUCUGGUUCGGAUCGCAGGUGGCCGUGCUGAAAUUGUAAUACUCAUGCUCCUCGUGCCAGUUCCCCACGGCCAGCGGCACGUCCAUGCCCUCGUCCGUGAUGGCAAACAAGUUCUCUCCGCGCCGCCCGCGUUCUUUGUUGUGGCCCCACACGCACUUCUGAGCGUAGGCCUUGGCGAAGGCGGCCAGCUCGUCAUCCCACCUCUGCAGGGACGCAAGGGAGGCAAGACAGGGAGGUGAGUGUGGUUAAAGUAUGCUGGGGUGUCUUGAAUCCUCUGUAGGCCCGAGACGGGCUUGCCGCACCAAGCCAAGUGACCCCGAGCUUGUCCCCGGAAUCUGUUCCCCGUGGGUUUUAGUGGGAUGGGGGAGUGCCACCUCAGACCCUGGGGGGUCGUCUCUCACCCUUCACAGGGCAUGGGGGUGGGGGCAGAGGGUUGAUGUCAGUUGUGAUUUUUGUGUGCCCUGCGUAGCUGUGGGGAGGGGCAGAGAUGCACAGUGGGCUGAUUGAACUGCCUGGGCAUCUGAAGCUGUUCAGGGAAAUGUUGGUGGAGCCGCGCAUCAACACCGGGCUGUUGCCUGCCUCACUGCGAUGGCUCCGAGGAAACUGUCUCUGUGAAGGUCCCUUAUUUCCUCAGAGCCCUGCCUAAGACAACGCUGUCAAACCCCAACUCCAGAUUCUCUGUCUCAUCGCAGGUGAGACUCCUGCGAAGGGCAGUUUUGCUUAGAGAGCCUCCGAGGUUCCUUGUCCUUGGCUGGGAGAAGACGGAGCAAGUGUGCAGCAUGAGAGGGGAACUUAAGGCAUCUGACCCCAAGGACUAAGGAGGAAGACCUGGAUCCCAUUAAACUCCGAUGCCUGCUGUGGCUCUUGUUCCACCAACUUGACAGCCCCACCAAAAGCAGCAGCAGAAGCUUGGGGUGUCAUUGCGGGGAGAACUGUGUGACCAUGCCCACUUCCCACCCGCUCAGUGCUUUAGCUUCCUGCAACCCUCGUGGGAUCCUGAAUGGGGACAGUACCAGGGCUGUGCCUUGAUGAGAUGUUCUCUCUCUCUCUCUCUCUCUCUCUCUCUCUCUGGUCAUUUUAAAAAAUUAAUUCUGCACUUACUUUUAGGUAUGUGCGAAUGCAGGUGCACGCCUAACAGUGCCUGCACGAAAGAGGACAGCCUCUGGGGAGGGAACUCAGCUCCUCUGAGUUGCUUGGCCAGGUGUUUUGAGGAACACCUGGCUAGCCCCACUUUGGUCAUUUUAUUUCAAAUCACUGGUCUGGGUGGUCCCCUAGACUCUGACAACAGUGGGCAGUUGGGAGCAGAAAUGGGGAUCAGGGGGUCUAGGGUGAUCCACAGGACCCCGGGAUAGACAGAUAGGCUCCAUUCUAGGACAGGUAGUAACAUCAUUUCCAUUGUCACAGUGCUGGGUGUUAUGGGUACUCCCCCACCCCCCAGCUGAGGACCUCCCCGAAGCUGAGGACUGAACCCAGGGCCUUGUGCUUGCUAGGCAAGUGCUCUACUACUGAGCUAAAUCCCCACCCCAGUGGGUACUUUUUAAUAGAUGGUUAUGAUUGAAAGACCAGCUCAAAGUAGCCCCAGCUCUAACCUCUAAGCUGAGUCUACGCCUGAAGUCCCAGCGGGACUUACAGUUUGUGGUGUUGCAACCUCUCUCCCUAGAAGUAGGUCUGUCCACUCUGUCCUUCAGUAGUCCUGGUCACUAAGCCAGAAUGAAAGCAAGAACCAAGAACCCCAAGUUCGUUAGUCACUCAGGGAGUGUGGCCACUGUAAUCAGUGCCACAGGUAACUGGGUCCUGUGGGACAUGGGAAGACUGUGUAGGCAGACUGAGGGUGGAGAUAGAGAUUGGGCUAAACGACCAGGUGCUAACCAGGUGGGGGACACCCUGAGCAAAGUCACCAGGGGCAGCAGGGCUUGCUCCAUCUGUGGCGAGACCACCACCACCACCACCACCACCACCCCACCACCCCGCAGGUAGAAGUGCUACUUAGUAUCUAGGCUUCUAAUUUGUCUGCAGUUCCUGGUUGCCAAGGGCAACAGGAGUGGUGCCGUGAUCAUUUCCCACAGUCAUCCAAUCUGACCUGAAGGGCAAGGAUGUCAGUACCUAACUGUCCACCAGGAAAAGGCUCCCCACAGAGUCACCAAGCCCCAGGGGACAAGCUGAGGCUAAGAGCUAAAUGUCAGGAUCCCUGGUUCCCUGCUGUAUUUCCCAGGUGUGACCUAGCCCUUAGCUCAGGGGUUCCUGGCCACUGGAGGGUGUCUGGGAGUGGGGUGGACCAGUCAGACUUCAGAGAGGACAGAAUGGGAGUGAUUCUAACUCUUAUCAGCUGAAACCAGAGCAGACAUCCUGCCUCCACCCUGCCAUCUGAUAAUAAAUGUUCUUUUCGCCAGAUUGGCCACCG
rnacentral:lncRNA from 1 species